rnacentral:rRNA from 1 species
UACAGAGGGUGCGAGCGUUAAUCGGAAUUACUGGGCGUAAAGCGCACGUAGGUGGCGACGUAAGUCGGGUGUGAAAGCCCCGGGCUCAACCUGGGAAUUGCAUUCGAGACUGCAUUGCUGGAGUACGGAAGAGGAGGGCGGAAUUCCCGGUGUAGCGGUGAAAUGCGUAGAUAUCGGGAGGAACAUCAGUGGCGAAGGCGGCCCUCUGGUCCAGUACUGACACUCGAAGUGCGGAAAGCGUGGGGAGCAAACAGG